ACAGCGGCGAACUGGUGAGUAACGGGUGGGCAACGUGCCCUGAAGUGUGGAAUAACUUCGAGAAAUCGGAGCUAAUACCGCAUGUGAUCACCGGGUCCCUGGACCUGGUGGUUAAAGAUUCAAAUCGCUUUAGGAUCGGCCCGUCUCCGAUUAGCUAGUUGGUGAGGUAAUGGCUCACCAAGGCAACUAUCGGUAGCUGGUCUGAGAGGAUGGUCAGCCACACUGGGACUGAGAUACGGCCCAGACUCCUACGGGGGGCAGCAGUCUAGAGGCUUCGGCAAUGGACGAAAGUCUGACCGAGCGACGCCGCGUGCGGGAUUGAAGGCGUUUUCGUCGUAAACCGCUGUGUAAGGGGAAGAAUGCCCGUAUGGUGAAUACGGGAGUGACGGUACCUUUACAGAAAGCUCCGGCUAACUACGUGCCAGCAGCCGCGGUAAUACGUAGGGAGCAAGCGUUGUUCGGAUUUACUGGGCGUAAAGAGAGCGUAGGCGGCGUAUCAAGUCUGGUGUGAAAUCUUCACCGCUUAACGGGAAGAGGUCACCGGAAACUAGUAUGCUGGAGUGAGGAAGAGGCAGGCGGAAUUCCUGGUGUAGCGGUGGAAUGUGUAGAUAUCAGGAAGAACAUCGGUGGCGAAGGCGGCCUGCUGGGCCUUUACUGACGCUGAGGCUCGAAAGCGUGGGGAGCGAACGGGAUUAGAUACCCCGGUAGUCCACGCUGUAAACGGUGUGCAUUAGGUGUGGGGGGUAUCGACCCCUUCCGUGCCGGCGCUAACGCAAUAAAUGCACCGCCUGGGGAGUACGGCCGCAAGGUUGAAACUCAAAGGAAUUGACGGGGGCCCGCACAAGCGGUGGAGGAUGUGGUUUAAUUCGACGCAACGCGAAGAACCUUACCCGGGCUUGAACUGGUGGGUAAACCCCUGGAAACAGGGACUGUGGCAACACGACCCAUUAGAGGUGCUGCAUGGCUGUCGUCAGCUCGUGUCGUGAGAUGUUGGGUUAAGUCCCGCAACGAGCGCAACCCUUGUCGCCAGUUACCAUCAUUCAGUUGGGGACUCUAGCAAGACUGCCGGUAACAAACCGGAGGAAGGUGGGGAUGACGUCAAGUCCUCAUGGCCCUUACGUCCAGGGCUACACACGUCCUACAAUGGCCAAGACAAAGGGUUGCAAGACCGCGAGGUGGAGCUAAUCCCAAAAACUUGGUCUCAGUUCGGAUUGCAGUCUGCAACUCGACUGCAUGAAGAUGGAAUCGCUAGUAAUCGCGGAUCAGAACGCCGCGGUGAAUACGUUCCCGGGCCUUGUACACACCGCCCGUCACACCACGAAAGUCGGUUGUUCCAGAAGUCGCUGCAGGAACCCUCGAGGGAC
rnacentral:rRNA from 1 species